rnacentral:tRNA from 1 species
GGCGGCAUAGCCAAGCGGUAAGGCAGCGGUCUGCAAAACCGCGAUUCCUCGGUUCAAUCCCGAGUGCCGCCU